AGACAGAGCAAGAGGUAGACGCAGUGAACUGAAACAUCUUAGUAGCUGCAGGAAGAGAAAGAAACAUCGAUUCCCUGAGUAGCGGCGAGCGAAAAGGGAAGAGCCCAAACUAAUAAGCUUGCUUGUUGGGGUUGUAGGACUGAACAUUAGAGUUACCAAAGUGCGACGUAGUCGCAACAGUUGGGAAGCUGUGCCAUAGAGGGUGAGAGCCCCGUAGACGAAACGUCA
rnacentral:rRNA from 1 species